AUUGAACGCUGGCGGCAUGCCUUACACAUGCAAGUCGAACGGUAACAGGUCUUCGGCCGCUGACGAGUGGCGGACGGGUGAGUAAUACAUCGGAACGUGCCCGAUCGUGGGGGAUAACGAGGCGAAAGCUUUGCUAAUACCGCAUACGAUCUACGGAUGAAAGCGGGGGAUCUUCGGACCUCGCGCGGACGGUGCGGCCGAUGGCAGAUUAGGUAGUUGGUGGGAUAAAAGCUUACCAAGCCGACGAUCUGUAGCUGGUCUGAGAGGAUGAUCAGCCACACUGGGACUGAGACACGGCCCAGACUCCUACGGGAGGCAGCAGUGGGGAAUUUUGGACAAUGGGCGAAAGCCUGAUCCAGCCAUGCCGCGUGCAGGAUGAAGGCCUUCGGGUUGUAAACUGCUUUUGUACGGAACGAAAGGCCUCUUUCUAAUAAAGAGGGGUCAUGACGGUACCGUAAGAAUAAGCACCGGCUAACUACGUG
rnacentral:rRNA from 1 species